CGGCAGGCCUAACACAUGCAAGUCGAGCGGAUGAGGGGAGCUUGCUCCUUGAUUCAGCGGCGGACGGGUGAGUAAUGCCUAGGAAUCUGCCUGGUAGUGGGGGAUAACGUUCCGAAAGGAACGCUAAUACCGCAUACGUCCUACGGGAGAAAGCAGGGGACCUUCGGGCCUUGCGCUAUCAGAUGAGCCUAGGUCGGAUUAGCUAGUUGGUGAGGUAAUGGCUCACCAAGGCGACGAUCCGUAACUGGUCUGAGAGGAUGAUCAGUCACACUGGAACUGAGACACGGUCCAGACUCCUACGGGAGG
rnacentral:rRNA from 1 species